CAGAUUACUUUUCUGGCCAACUAAUUCCAGAUGCUUCCAGUUCAUUCUCCUCUGUUCCUUUCUGCACUUGAUCCUUCUUUCUCACAUUUCUUCUGUAAUACAUUCUCAAUGGUUUUGGGCCUUGAUCCACGACUCCUGGACUUCUAGAUCCGCUGCUAUCACCAGUGGCAAAGCCAUGUUAUGGAUUCUCUAUUUUAUUUAAUAUAUAGAUAUAUAUAUUAUUAAGCAGUUUGAACCCAAGACUUACUGAUGCAAACCUCAAGAACGAUG
rnacentral:misc_RNA from 1 species